rnacentral:sRNA from 1 species
UAUCCAACGCCCUGAACAUGGCCUAGUCUGCGAAACUUGUGCCAUAUUUCUGCAUGUGGGGGAUUUCUGCAUAGAGGUUAAAUGUCUCACCAGUUGGAUAGAGAAUAGUCUCACCUGGUGGAUAAUGGAUAAUGAUAUAGAUGAUGAAUGUCUCGCCUGGUAGAUAGAGAAUGAAUGUUUUACAUGUGGAUAGAGGAUGAAUGUCUCAUGUCUCACCUAGUUGAUAUAGAUGAUAAAUGUCUCGCCUGGUAGAUAGAGGAUGAAUGUUUUACCUGUGGAUAGAGGAUGAAUGUCUCACCUUGUGGAUAAAGGAUGAAUGUCUCACCAGGUGGAUAGAGGAUGCGCCUCAUGUCUCACCUAGUUGAUAUAGAUGAUGAAUGUCUCGCCUGGUAGAUAGAGGAUGAAUGUUGUACCUGUGGAUAGAGGAUGAAUGUCCCACCUGGUGGAUAGAGGAUGAAUGUCUCAUCUGGUGGAUAGAUGAAGAAUGUCUCAACUGGUGGAUAGAGGAUGAAUGUCUCACCUGGUGGAUAAAGGAUGAAUGUCUCACCUAUGGAUAGAGGGUGAAUGUCUAACCUGGUGGAUAGAGGAAGAAUGUCUCACCUAUGAAUAGAUGAUGAAUGUCUCACCUGGUGGAUAGAUGAUGAAUGUCUGAACCUAGGAUAGAGGGUGAAUGUUUCACCUGUGGAUAGAGGAUGAAUGUCUCACCUGAUGGAUAGAGAGUGAAUUUCUCACCUGAUGGAUAGAGAGUGAAUGUCUCACCUGGUGGAUAGAUGAUGAAUUUCUCACCUGGUGAAAAGAUGAUGAAUGUCUCACCUGGUGGAUAGAGGAUAAAUGUCUCACCUGGUGAAUAGAGGAUGAGUGUCUCACCUGGUGGAUAAAGGAUGAAUGUCUCACCUAUGGAUAGAGAGUGAAUGUCUCACCUGGUGGAUAGAGGAAGAAUGUCUCACCUAUGAAUAGAUGAUGAAUGUCUCACCUGGUGGAUAAAUGAUGAAUGUCUGAACCUAGGAUAGAGGGUGAAUGUCUCACCUGGUGAAUAGAGGAUGAGUGUCUCACCUGGUGGAUAGAGGAUAAAUGUCUCACCUGGUGAAUAGAGGAUGAGUGUCUCACCUGGUAGAUAGAGGAUAAAUGUCUCACCUGGAGGAUGUAGAAUAAAGUCUCACCUGAAGCUGACCAUUCCUACACGGGUUUUAUUGCUGCCGAUGUCAAACAGAUCCACCAAGUUCUCCGUGAACUGGAGCUGCUUCCGGAAGUCUUUAAACAAGAUACUUCCGCUUGAAUCUAACACGAACUCUAUAUCGGCGGGUUUAUUUCCACAUCCUACAAAAUUUUAUCAAAAGCUUAAAGCCAUUCUCAUGUUUCCUACUUUCCGUGCCCAUUGCUUCACGUGUACAUAGGCACACAGGUAUCGGUUUGCUGUUCAAGAGAUGUGGUGGGAAAAGCUGGGUUUCCGUCGUGUGUUUGAUUUCCACAUGCAGUGAGUAGAAGCCUUACUCUGGUAAAACCGAAAACUCCAAAGGUUCUUUGUCGCAGUUUAUUUCUAUAGAAUCGACGGGACAACUGUCCGAAACAGAGGACCUGAAGCUGGAAACUUGAGACGACGUACAACAAACUAAAAAAACACUUCAGUUAUCGUUUGAAACUUUAAAAGAUGCAUUAGUUGUGAUUUUUAAUUUUAUCUUAUUUCUUUACGUUGCCAAUUUACCAUUUAUUUAUUUUUUUAAUUCUUAAUAUAUAGAAAUUAAUCAAAACUAGUAUUAAAAUACUCUAUUGAUAACUAUGAAUAACUUAUAAACAAUUGUAAAAAAAUAAAUCAACCAAUAGA